rnacentral:tRNA from 1 species
UUUGGCGUGGCAGAGUUGGAUACAAUGCAAGGGGCUUAAAACCCCUAAUCAGACGUUCAAAUCGUCUCACCAAAA